AUUUUUUUUUUUUUGCACAGACCUUAUAGUGGUUUUUGUUGGUUCUUCUAAUUUCUAUCCUAAUUAAGACUGUAAAUAUAUUUGCUUCUUUGAUACUUCAUUUAGAUAUUCGGAAAUCUCCCAUCUUGGGUGUGUUUCAUAUGCAAUAAGUUGAAAUAAUCGGAUGAAGCACCUAUGCUUUCUAUUGCAUUCUUGUUUGAUCCUUUA
rnacentral:misc_RNA from 1 species